rnacentral:rRNA from 1 species
GUGGGGAAUUGUUCGCAAUGGGCGAAAGCCUGACGACGCAACGCCGCGUGGGGGAUGAAGGUCUUCGGAUCGUAAACCCCUGUCGAGCGGGAAGAACGACUCGCGAUUGAAUAGAUCGCGGGAGUGACGGUACCGCUAAAGGAAGCCACGGCUAACUCUGUGCCAGCAGCCGCGGUAAUACAGAGGUGGCAAGCGUUGUUCGGAAUUACUGGGCGUAAAGGGCGCGUAGGCGGCUUUCUAAGUCAGACGUGAAAUCCCAAGGCUUAACCUUGGAACUGCGUCUGAUACUGGAAAGCUAGAGUUCGGGAGAGGGAUGUAGAAUUCCAGGUGUAGCGGUGAAAUGCGUAGAUAUCUGGAGGAAUACCGGUGGCGAAGGCGGCAUCCUGGACCGAAACUGACGCUGAGGCGCGAAAGCUAGGGUAGCAAACGGGAUUAGAUACCCUUGUAGUCC